ACUACACAAGGCAUUAACCGUGAAGUGUUAAAAUAAAAACAGGUGCUGAUUAAAUCUGCCUGGGUAAUUGUGGAUGUGACUAAGUGUUGAGAACUACUGUAACAUGAGCACUAAGUGUGAUUUUUUUGCUGGGUGAUCUUCAUUUUUCUUUGAAUGAACGCCUCAGAAUAGCAGACUCAUUCAUUAAAUGUUUGGGGGAGUGUCGCCCAAGUGACCCAGGUGUCCCCAAGUGUUACUGUCAACAGGUGACAAUCAGCACCACAACAACAACAAAGCAACACAAACAGCUGCACUGAGAAACAGCUCCCUGUACCUGCACACCAAACUCAGAGUAGCAGCCAAAAUUCCCCGGAGUGACGGAAGGGAGUCAUUUCCCCUGUUACAGCUAAUAAAGCACUAAUUGCCCUCUGGGUUGGGACGUGAGUUAUGAGCAGGAGCUGAGAAACCACAACAUAUUGACAGUCUGGUCAGUCUGCUCACAGACUCUAUUAGUCACACAGCACAGAAGCCUGCUAACUCCCCUCCUUUCCUGUGUUUAUUUCACAAAUGUGCAUGAGUGAGAGUAAAUUUGCCAGCCACUCCACUUCCCAGUUUGCUUGCCAGCAGUUUUCUCCAGCCAAGUUGAGCCACAGCUGUUUACAAAGAAGGUGUUUCUGUUGCUACAGCCAGCCGGCCUUGGAUCAUAGGUUUGGUUGAAGCAUUGACCAGGUACAGACUCCAGCUUUACGGAAUGUGUUGUGCAACAAUAUUAUGGGAAUAUUACACAGCACUGACCUGAACCUGCUGAGGAAUAACAGUUAAGGAUACCACCUUAACCAAAAACAAAGGGCAUUGCUAAUCCAGUGUCAUAAUAACAACAACAGAAAUCAUACACCUGUGUGACUUGUGACAGAAAACACAAUGGGAGGGGCCCCUUUGUGAUGCCAUCACUGUCUUUACUGGCUAAAAAAACUAGUUUCCAGGUAGAUUAAAGGUCUGCUGAAACCUGUGGGGAGCCAGUCCGGUUGUCACUAUUUAUCUGGUUGUCACCAUUUCAGGUCAUAGAUGUCUAAAGACUGUUAAGCUUCCAACACCACAUCCAGAAAAAAACCUGUUCUUUAUGGAUCCAUAUUUAUGUAAUAAAGAUGCACUGUGACACUAAUUGCUCUCUGAUUAUAAUAGGUAGCCUAGUGUCUGUAGUACUCCGUGCAUGAGUGUGCAGCUGGAGAGGCUAGUGGAGUGGUGUGCAUGUGAAACCGAAGCCCAUCCACACCUUGCCUCGUCUGCUCUCUCCUCUCCUCAAAGGCUUCAGCCCUCAGUGGCAUUUGUGUGAAUCCAACUUCUUGCCGCCAUGGUAACCAGAGCAGAGAGAGGAUUGGAUAUAAAUGAGAGAAAGUGAGAGGGCAUGACCCGAACAUCACACAGUCUCCCAUGAUGCUGUGUUUAGUAUUCUGGCUGAAUGAGCAGUGCUCACUCUGCUACAGUAAUAACUGGACAAUUUGGACUUAAUUAUCAUCUUCCUACUUACUUCAUUGUUUUAAUAAGAUACAACACUGAUUAUAGUAUGACCGUGUUUUCAUGAAUCUUAUGAUCCGUCCUCGGUCUCUUUUACACGAUGCAAAUUGUGCAGAAUUAUUUUUGAAUUUUACUUUCAUAAAUCAUAUCUGAGCUGAUUCCCUGGAUUUUCUAGCAUGCUUUUGCAUGAUGGGCAGGAUUAGUUCACUUCUGUGUCUAUGCAUUAUUACAUUAUCAAACAAUCAAAAUGAAUGAAGAGCAAAGUUGAACAGCAAAAGUAAGAUAGAUAAAAUUGUAGAUGUUUGUCUUUUGCCACAUUUUUUUGGAGCAAGCGUUGCAGAUGC
rnacentral:lncRNA from 1 species